UCGAACGGCAGCACGGGUGCUUGCACCUGGUGGCGAGUGGCGAACGGGUGAGUAAUACAUCGGAACAUGUCCUGUAGUGGGGGAUAGCCCGGCSAAAGCCGGAUUAAUACCGCAUACGAUCCACGGAUGAAAGCGGGGGACCUUCGGGCCUCGCGCUAUAGGGUUGGCCGAUGGCUGAUUAGCUAGUUGGUGGGGUAAAGGCCUACCAAGGCGACGAUCAGUAGCUGGUCUGAGAGGACGACCAGCCACACUGGGACUGAGACACGGCCCAGACUCCUACGGGAGGCAGCAGUGGGGAAUUUUGGACAAUGGGCGAAAGCCUGAUCCAGCAAUGCCGCGUGUGUGAAGAAGGCCUUCGGGUUGUAAAGCACUUUUGUCCGGAAAGAAAUCCUUGGCUCUAAUACAGUCGGGGGAUGACGGUACCGGAAGAAUAAGCACCGGCUAACUACGUGCCAGCAGCCGCGGUAAUACGUAGGGUGCAAGCGUUAAUCGGAAUUACUGGGCGUAAAGCGUGCGCAGGCGGUUUGCUAAGACCGAUGUGAAAUCCCCGGGCUCAACCUGGGAACUGCAUUGGUGACUGGCAGGCUASAGUAUGGCAGAGGGGGGUAGAAUUCCACGUGUAGCAGUGAAAUGCGUAGAGAUGUGGAGGAAUACCGAUGGCGAAGGCAGCCCCCUGGGCCAAUACUGACGCUCAUGCACGAAAGCGUGGGGAGCAAAACAAGGAUUAGAUACCCUGGUAGUCCACGCCCUAAACGAUGUCAAACUAGUUGUUGGGGAUUCAUUUUCCUUAGUAACGUAGCUAACGCGUGAAGUUGACCGCCUGGGGAGUACGGUCGCAAGAUUAAAACUCAAAGGAAUUGACGGGGACCCGCACAAGCGGUGGAUGAUGUGGAUUAAUUCGAUGCAACGCGAAAAACCUUACCUACCCUUGACAUGGUCGGAAUCCUGCUGAGAGGCGGGAGUGCUCGAAAGARAACCGGCGCACAGGUGCUGCAUGGCUGUCGUCAGCUCGUGUCGUGAGAUGUUGGGUUAAGUCCCGCAACGAGCGCAACCCUUGUCCUUAGUUGCUACGCAAGAGCACUCUAAGGAGACUGCCGGUGACAAACCGGAGGAAGGUGGGGAUGACGUCAAGUCCUCAUGGCCCUUAUGGGUAGGGCUUCACACGUCAUACAAUGGUCGGAACAGAGGGUUGCCAACCCGCGAGGGGGAGCUAAUCCCAGAAAACCGAUCGUAGUCCGGAUUGCACUCUGCAACUCGAGUGCAUGAAGCUGGAAUCGCUAGUAAUCGCGGAUCAACAUGCCGCGGUGAAUACGUUCCCGGGUCUUGUACMCCCCKCCCUCACACCAUGGGAGUGGGUUUUACCAGAAG
rnacentral:rRNA from 1 species